rnacentral:lncRNA from 1 species
UCCCCACAAUGUCCCCAUGUCCCCAUAAUGUCCCCAUUUCCCAAUGUCCCCAUGUCCCCAUAACGUCCCCAUUUCCCCAUGUCCCCAUAAUGUCCCCAUUUCCCAGUGUCCCCACAUCGUCCCCAUGUCCCCGUGUCCCCAUAAGGUCCCCCCCGACCCCACAGCUCACGCCAGCAUCUCGGUCAGCAGCCCCACAACCUCCACCCCCACCUCGCGGUCCUCGUCCAGCACCAUGGCCAGCAGGCGCUCCUGCAGCCGGCGACAGCG